GCAAUCAUCUCGUACUGCGUCAGUAUUAGUGUUUGUUUUCGUUUUGACUGGUGCCCGUGCUGUCGCUUGGUGAUCGAUCAGAAGUUGAAAACAAUCUGAGCAAGCGGGAGCACGGGCGCAGCUAAGAAAGUAGCUGCGAAAAGACACCGUAAAUUUUUGUAGCAUGUGGUGAAUAAAAGAGUUUUAUUUACCCUGCUGACGGAACCGGUGCCCGGUUGAGAAAUUCCCGCCUGUCUCAACACUACAAAAAUUUACGACAGAGAACGCCGAAGAUCGGAAACCUGUGGCCACCGCUAGGAGCUUGAAAAGCGCGGCGGAAGUGGCACUACGUCCCAUCCGGAGACGUCCCUUCAUUCGGAGCGAGUUGCUGUGGAGUUCGCAGGAGCUGAUGCAAUGGCGGCUAAAACGGCAACAAAAUGGAGUCGGUGAGGCGAAAGUUGCCGAAGGAGGUUGAGACGAUGUGACCACCCGUGGCCCAUAAAUCGAGCCUAAAGAGGUCGGGCACGGGUGGGAGACGGAGGUCAAAAGAUCACUUUGGAACGAUACGCGCUCAUCCACUUCAAGUUGCAGACGUCGUCGGCAGCACCAAAACCAGCGAAGCAUCUUCAGGACGCGCUACGAUGACGAAGGCGUAAAACUCCGGCUUCGGCUAACCCGAAGUUUUACGGGGGGGAGUGUUGCGACGGAGCACGUCCCAAAUACGGCCGAAGCAAUCAUCUCGUACUGCGUCAGUAUUAGUGUUUGUUUUCGUUUUGACUGGUGCCCGUGCUGUCGCUUGGUGAUCGAUCAGAAGUUGAAAACAAUCUGAGCAAGCGGGAGCACGGGCGCAGCUAAGAAAGUAGCUGCGAAAAGACACCGUAAAUUUUUGUAGCAUGUGGUGAAUAAAAGAGUUUUAUUUACCCUGCUGACGGAACCGGUGCCCGGUUGAGAAAUUCCCGCCUGU